rnacentral:ribozyme from 13 species
UUUUUUUUUUUUUUUUUUUUUUUUCCUUCCCAAAUCGAUCACC